GUGGGGAAUAUUGGACAAUGGGGGGAACCCUGAUCCAGCCAUGCCGCGUGUGUGAAGAAGGCCUUUUGGUUGUAAAGCACUUUAAGUGGGGAGGAGGCUUACCUGGUUAAUACCUAGGCUAAGUGGACGUUACCCACAGAAUAAGCACCGGCUAACUCUGUGCCAGCAGCCGCGGUAAUACAGAGGGUGCGAGCGUUAAUCGGAUUUACUGGGCGUAAAGCGCGCGUAGGUGGUUAAUUAAGUCAAAUGUGAAAUCCCCGGGCUUAACUUGGGAAUUGCAUUCGAUACUGGUUAGCUAGAGUAUGGGAGAGGAUGGUCGAAUUCCAGGUGUAGCGGUGAAAUGCGUAGAGAUCUGGAGGAAUACCGAUGGCGAAGGCAGCCAUCUGGCCUAAUACUGACACUGAGGUGCGAAAGCAUGGGGAGCAAACAGGAUUAGAUACCCUAGUAGUCC
rnacentral:rRNA from 1 species